UAUAGGAAAAAACUUAAAUCGGUAAUCUAACCUUGUAAUUAAUUAGUAAUCUAACUUUGACCUUUCCACUCUACCUGCUACAGGUAUAUGAGAGAUCUGUUGCAAGGAUUUUAGAAACUUCAUUGACGUCAAGAAUAUAGAGUGAUCUGUUCCUUGUGGAUUUAAGUAUGUUGCCUGUGGCCAUCCUGCAUCAUUAGAGGAAUAUACCCAGGGAUUAGGAAAAUGACUGUACCAUGUGCCUUGAUUGAGCAAGACUGAACAAUCAAGAAUGGAACAGGAAAAGGCAGGACUUUGAUGACAGGAGGUACACAGAUCACAUUUUCAGUAAGAGACCAAAAGAAGCACAUGAGAUUCACCUUUCUGGUGCAGGAAGCUUCAGACCAACAAGGUAAGUGUGUGGUUUGGUUGGCCCUUUUCAUGUUACCCUUACUUCAUGUCUGGAGAUUUACUAUUUAAAAAAAAAAAUAAAAUACAAAAACCUGUCA
rnacentral:lncRNA from 1 species